GUGGUGGCUCAGUGAUAGAGCGCUUGCCUAGCAUGCGUGGGGCACUGGGUUCGAUCCUCAGCAGCACA
rnacentral:tRNA from 1 species